rnacentral:ncRNA from 1 species
UCCCCUUUGCCGCCGGGUAGAGGGAACGGGCGACAGGCUGCAUGUCAUUAGGCCAUAGAAGACAUGGGCAUGCCGCUUUUUGACGC